rnacentral:tRNA from 1 species
ACUUAAGAUUCAUAUAUAAAGAUAUAUCUUUCAUUAGAA